CCACAGCAGCAGGUACCACACGCAAGCAAGUAACCACAGCAGCAGGUACCACAGCAGCCGGUACCACAGCAGCAGGUACCACAGCAGCAGGUACCACAGCAGCAGGUACCACAGCAGGAGGUACCACAGCAGGAGGUACCACAGCAGCAGGUACCACAGCAGCAGGUACCACAGCAGGAGGUACCACAGCAGCACCUACCACAGCAACUACCGUAGCGACUACCAACACAACUACAAAUCGACCACCUCCUCCGCCCUCAUCAACCAAAUCAGUCUCAUCUCCAUUGUCGUGGCUGUGCUGACACCUGUUCUCUACUCAGGUUGCUGAAGGUGUUAAGUGCAGUUCUCAUCCUGUGCAUGAAUCACUGAAAAUGGAAGGAUUUUGGUUCAUACAAUGUAAGCUGAUAUGCUAAGUGCUGGUUUACUGAUGCGUGUUUGCACACUGGACCUUGUUGGAGGUGUUGAGAAUUAAUCCAAAUGCCUGUUGAUAACUACCGUUGUUUUGAUUCAGAGGCCAGUGAGUGAAUCUGUCUAAUAUAUUAAAAUUAACUUAUGUAUGCAUCACCUGAU